rnacentral:rRNA from 1 species
UACGAAGGGGGCAAGCGUUGCUCGGAAUUACUGGGCGUAAAGCGCACGCAGGCGGCUCUUUAAGUCGGAGGUGAAAUCCUGGAGCUCAACUCCAGAACUGCCCUCGAUACUGAAGAGCUCGAGUCCGGGAGAGGUGAGUGGAACUGCGAGUGUAGAGGUGAAAUGCGUAGAUAUUCGCAAGAACACCAGUGGCGAAGGCGGCUCACUGGCCCGGUACUGACGCUGAGGUGCGAAAGCGUGGGGAGCAAACAGG